CACCGCCUGGGGAGUACGACCGCAAGGUUAAAACUCAAAUGAAUUGACGGGGACCCGCACAAGUAGUGGAGCAUGUGGUUUAAUUCGAAGAUACGCGCAGAACCUUACCAACACUUGACAUGUUCGUCGCGACUCUAAGAGAUUAGAGUUUUCGGUUCGGCCGGACGAAACACAGGUGCUGCAUGGCUGUCGUCAGCUCGUGUCGUGAGAUGUUGGGUUAAGUCCCGCAACGAGCGCAACCCUCACUUUUAGUUGCCAUCAUUUAGUUGGGCACUCUGAAAGAACUGCCAGUGAUAAGCUGGAGGAAGGUGGGGAUGACGUCAAGUCCUCAUGGCCCUUACGUGUUGGGCUACACACGUGCUACAAUGGUAUCUACAACAGGAAGCAAAACAGCGAUGUUAAGCAAAUCCUCAAAAGAUACCUCAGUUCGGAUUGCACUCUGCAACUCGAGUGCAUGAAGCUGGAAUUACUAGUAAUCGUGGAUCAGCGUGCCACGGUGAAUGCGUUCCCGGGUCUUGUACACACCGCCCGUCACACCAUGGGAGUUGGUUCUACCUUAAGGCAAGGUUUAAUACCCUUGACCACGGUAUAGUCAGCGACUGGGGGUGAAGUCGUAACAAGGUAGCCGUAGGGGAACCUGCGGCUGGAUUACCUCCUUUCUAAGGAUGAGUGAGAGUAAAAUUUCACUCUAAAUAAUAUAACAGGCAAUGUUGACCGUCCUCAUUUCUCUUCUUAAAGUAGUGUUUCUCUUGCAUGGGGGCCGGUAGCUCAGUUGGUUAGAGCACACCCUUGAUAAGGGUGGGGUCGAAAGUUCGAGUCUUUCUCGGCCCACCAAAUUAAGAUCAUGGGGGGAUUAGCUCAGCUGGGAGAGCGCCUGAUUUGCAUUCAGGAGGUCAGCGGUUCGAUCCCGCUAUCCUCCACCAGAAACACUUAGUUAUGAAAAUUGUGAAUAUAAAUUAAUAAUUAAUAUCAAUAUCUAUAUCCGAACAUUAGUAAUGUUAUUAGCUAAUGUUCAAAAUAAAAAUUUGAUUCAACACAGAAUUUUUUUCUG
rnacentral:sRNA from 1 species